rnacentral:lncRNA from 1 species
CUGGGAGAAUGUGUGUAGCAUGUCCUCUCUGCAGCAAGCCCUCGGAUCUGCUCUGUUUGCCUUCUCACCCUGCCUCUGCACCUACUGGUGGCUGCCUGAGGCCAGCGGGCUUCAGUGGAAGGUGGCCCUGCCCAGCCUUCAUAGCUGCCUCCAGCCCCAGGAAGCCGGGGCCCCAGGGGGUUCCCCGCUUGACAGGUCUAGGCGACUGCAGCUGGGCAUUGGCUGUAGCCGGCUUCAGAUCUGCCAUGACUGCCCUGUAGCUCCCCAGCCCCUGUGGUAAAGGGGAGAGCCCAGCUGGGUGGGGGCGCCUUCUGUCUGCCUUCCUGCCUGCUCCUUCCUGGACAGCUUUGGGACCCCCACCCCUGCCGCCUGCACCACACACGGAGGAGUUGCCCGGCCCCCUCUCCAGGGUAUAACUCCGCCUCGCCCCCACAUCCUCUUUCCCAGCGACCCCAAUGGAGAGCCCUGUGGUUGGGCUGCCCCGCCUCUCCAGGCUACACUCGCAGGGCCCCGAGGCCAUCAAGCGCUUUGGACUCCCCCACGAGGGUCAGAACACCCCAUUGAGUCGUGCACUGACACCCUGGAAGACGAGGGACAUCCGCCUUCUCCCCAGCCCCCUGUCCCCUAAUACCACGUGGCUAUUGGGUAUCGUGAAGCGUCCACCUUGGGCAGCCAGGCCGCGGAGCGGGCGAGCAGAGCCCCCAGGGCUUUCCGGGGAGCGGUGGCUCAGCCUGUGCUCCAGAAGGCUCAUCCUGCAGCCUCAGCACCAAGGCUGGACUCGGAUACCUGCACCACAACCGGACUUAGCGGGCAGCCCCAGAGCAGAGCCCGGCGGUCCUCCACACUGUCCUAGACUGUCCUGGAGGUGGCCCGGCAGACCCUCGGUGACGGGACAGGGACAGGGCGGGAGCUCCCAGGCCACUGAGCAGCAGACGUGCAAGCUAGGAAGGCUGCCCAGAGGAGGGGAGCGUGGAAUCAACCGCCUCCAGCUGCAGCUCCUCGGUGCCAGGAGGUAAACGCUCAGCAAAGGCUCUGUGUCCGCCCUUGUCGCAUGCGGCCCGCCGAGAUGGGCUGAAUGGCAUUUGCAUUUGCCGGCUUGGGACCGGUUCUUUCUCGAGGGUUCCAUCUGAUGCAUUCAGCACUUCCCAGGAACCUGGAACGCCCGGCAGGACCUAGACAAGGACUCCUCAGGGCAUCUUCUCUGCCCGUUGUGGCUGCGCAGGUUUAUCAGUAUCUGGCUGCACAGGACGUUAUAGUUCUCGACCCCUGACCGCUCCUGGGACGUGGGUACAGCCCGGAGUCUCUGCACUGUCCUCCUGCCUCGUGUCAGGCACAGACGUCACGCCCCUUCUCCCCCGCCAUCGUCAUCCUCCGGUUCCAGCUCUGUGCCCCGGCCUGCUCUGGAGCCUCUGUCCAGCCCUGGUUGCGAGUGUCUCUAGCUCAGCGGCCACUGUCCCUCGCCUCCCGCUGACCCUGUUAUCUCCAACCCCAUGGGCUGCGCUCCCUCCCACCCGGGCCCGUGUCCUCGGCUCCAGCCAGCCUCAUGCUGUUCCCUGAAGUGACCCACUGGUCUCCGGGAGACCAGGGUUAGGGUUGCCCUGAUGCCAGCCCAGGCACUUACUGUCCCUCACAGAGCCUGUUUCCUCCUCUGGAAAUGGGGACAGCCAUCUGUUGGCACCACACAGGGUGACUGGGAGGAUGGCCAUAGAAUCCUUUGCACGCCACCAGGCAGACAGCAAAAACCCAUAAAAGGGGCUCCUGGAAAGGCUCUGUCGACAACCAGGGACAGGUCAGGAACACUGUUGAUGGACAGCCUCAGCAGAAAGCCACCUGGGGCCAGGGCCGGCCACGGCGAGUGUAAAAGAACAUUGAGGGAGACGGAGUGAGGCACCAGGAAAGCGGUCCCUGUGCGUUUCAGAGCCCAGGAAGUGGUCACUUGUGUAGGGGCAGUAUCUCCUUUCGGCCCUAGAAGUAAAUAAAAGCCCUAUAGGAGCUUGAGCCCUAAAGAAAGGUGGCCCUGUGAGGAGCUCCCAGGGCCCCGCACAGGGAAGAGGGUCCAGGAGCUGACAAUCCAUCUUGGGCUCUGUGCAGUGUGGAGCGGGCUGCGUGUGCCUGUGAGUCGGGAAAUAACGACAAAGCUGGGCCUAAAUGUGGACACUUUUCAGUUGGAUACAAGGGGUUUUAUUUUUACAUGAUAUAAGCAGUGUGGCAUGAUGGUUAAGAGAAUCAACUUUGAAACUUAAAGCCCAACUCUACACUGAAGUGUAAGGUUGGACAAGCUAUUAGUCUCCAAAUUUGUUUUCUAAUUAGG